rnacentral:lncRNA from 1 species
UGGAGCCAGGUUGGAACCAGGGAGUCUGGAAUGGGGCAGAGAGAGUGGAGCAGAGAAAGACUCACUGCAGUCCAACCAGAUGGCCAAUUAACAAUUUAGUUUCCAAUAAUCAACAGUUGAUGACAUAAACUGGAAGAACAAGAUGGGUGACUUCCUUCCAUAUCUCUAGAUUGACUCUCAAUCCAAACAGAAAAGCAUAAAAAAAAGUCAUUCCCCUUAAAACAAUUGGGUUAAGAGAACUCAAGAAUCAUUUUCUCUCAAUUCAACCUUUAGGAUUUAUUUUGCCAAAAUAUAAGCUUUUCCAAGUAUAAGGCUGAAGUUCCACAGGCACUAGACUCAGAAAUUAUAUUGGGCAGUAGAUAAGCUAAAGUGAAUGUGACCAGAAUAAAAACAGCUUUGUAGACAACGAAGCUGGGCAAAUUUCUGAAAUUUAUGCUUAUAAAUUCCUUUAUGUUGACUAAAAGGAAGUCAUAUGAGCCAAUAUUUCAGCUUCUCCUAAAGCAUCUGUCAACAACAGCUUCUAAAGAGAUUCUUUUGCUGAAGUACAUCCAAGGAAGAAUAUAGCACCAAAUGGUCUCUUUCUUUAUAAAAUAAAAAAUGGCAUCCCACUUGCAUUUUCUUUAGAUCAGCAAUCUCUCUCCGGCAACUGCUCAACCAUCUAUUUCUUAUGGAAUAUCCAAAAUGAAAAAAAUAAUACCACUCACUCUAGUUCUAUUUUAAAUUUUAAAGCAAAUAAAAGGUCUUCUAGAUACUUAGAAA